GAAGCCGAGCGCAUCUGGAUUCCCACCAUGGCCUGGGCCCCUCUGCUCCUCACGCUGCUCACUUACUGCUCAGGUUCUCUCGCCCAGUACGUGCUGACUCAGCCGCCUUCAGUGUCUGUGUCUCUAGGGCAAAAGGCUCAACUCACCUGCUCAGGGAACAACAUUGGGGACAAGAAUGUGCAGUGGUACCAACAGAAACCUGGCAGCGCCCCCGUACUCGUUAUAUAUGGUGAUAGCAACAGACCCUCCGGAAUCCCCGAUCGAUUCUCUGGGGCCAACUCCGGUAACACGGCCACGUUAACCAUCACGGGAGUCCAGGUACAGGACGAGGCUGAUUAUUACUGUCAGGUGUGGGAUGAUGACAGCAGCGCUGCUCACAGUGACACAGCCAGACGGGGAAGGAACCCUCAGACCCCUCCCAGCCUCCUGAGAUCCUGCACAACAGCCUGCCUGCGAGCUGGGGCCGAGGCCUGUGACAAGCCCCCACGUGGCACCAGCAGGAAGGGGAAGAGCCUCAGUCUCUGA